rnacentral:rRNA from 1 species
AUUGAACGCUGGCGGCAGGCCUAACACAUGCAAGUCGAGCGGAUGAAGGGAGCUUGCUCCUGGAUUCAGCGGCGGACGGGUGAGUAAUGCCUAGGAAUCUGCCUGGUAGUGGGGGAUAACGUCCGGAAACGGGCGCUAAUACCGCAUAAGUCCUGAGGGAGAAAGUGGGGGAGCUUCGGACCUCACGCUAUCAGAUGAGCCUAGGUCGGAUUGGCUAGUUGGUGGGGUAAAGGCCUACCUAACCGACGAUCCGUAACUGGUCUGAGAGGAUGGUCAGUCACACUGGAACUGAGACACGGUCCAGACUCCUACGGGAGGCAGCAGUGGGGAAUAUUGGACAGAGGGCGAAAGCCUGAUCCAGCCAUGCCGCGUGUGUGAAGAAGGUCUUCGGAUUGUAAAGCACUUUAAGUUGGGAGGAAGGGCAGUAAGUUAAUACCUUGCUGUUUUGACGGUACCAACAGAAUAAGCACCGGCUAACUUCGUG